AGAAUUCUUUCGGCAAAAGGAGAAGCUGAUUUGCAGAAGUGCUGAGCAUGCCUGAGAGAGAUGGGAGUGAUCAAGACCAAGAGUGCCAUUUGGAUGUGCAGAGUUGAGGGAGAUACCAGGGUUCGUCAUGGGCAGCAAUGACUACGAUGGACAAGAAGAUAGAGGCCCUAAUCCUAAUUUUCUGAGCACCAUGGAAGCCCCCUGGAUUCUAGGGAGACCUUGAGGAGAAAGAAGACUCCUGUAAAUGCCUGACAUUGAAAUUCCUGCAAGUCUAGGAGCAUGUGAACUCAAAAUGGAAAUUAAUUUGAUUUAAUAAAAAUAAAGAAGAAGAAUUGUUUUGGCAUA
rnacentral:lncRNA from 10 species